UGCAAAGGCUGCCAGUUGGAAAGGGUGUU
rnacentral:piRNA from 1 species